rnacentral:rRNA from 1 species
AUUGAACGCUGGCGGCAGGCCUAACACAUGCAAGUCGAACGGUAACAGGAAACAGCUUGCUGUUUCGCUGACGAGUGGCGGACGGGUGAGUAAUGUCUGGGAAACUGCCUGAUGGAGGGGGAUAACUACUGGAAACGGUAGCUAAUACCGCAUAACGUCGCAAGACCAAAGAGGGGGACCUUCGGGCCUCUUGCCAUCGGAUGUGCCCAGAUGGGAUUAGCUAGCAGGUGGGGUAACGGCUCACCUAGGCGACGAUCCCUAGCUGGUCUGAGAGGAUGACCAGCCACACUGGAACUGAGACACGGUCCAGACUCCUACGGGAGGCAGCAGUGGGGAAUAUUGCACAAUGGGCGCAAGCCUGAUGCAGCCAUGCCGCGUGUAUGAAGAAGGCCUUCGGGUUGUAAAGUACUUUCAGCGGGGAUGAAGGGAGUAAAGUUAAUACCUUUGCUCAUUGACGUUACCCGCAGAAGAAGCACCGGCUAACUCCGUG